rnacentral:misc_RNA from 1 species
UAAUAAGUGUUUUAUGGCACUUUUUAAAUCCAUAUCCAACCUUGUGUGCAAUGUCAGUCGAUCUUCUUCAUGGAGAUCGACCAAACAUCAACCUUUAUCUUUUAACUCUUUGUCUGAAAAAUAUUAUGAAUAAACAAUUCAAAAUA